UACGUAGGGUGCAAGCGUUAAUCGGAAUUACUGGGCGUAAAGCGUGCGCAGGCGGUUUUGUAAGUUUGUCGUGAAAGCCCCGGGCUCAACCUGGGAAUUGCGAUGAAGACUGCAAGGCUUGAAUCUGGCAGAGGGGGGUAGAAUUCCACGUGUAGCAGUGAAAUGCGUAGAGAUGUAGAGGAACACCGAUGGCGAAGGCAGCCCCCUGGGUCAAGAUUGACGCUCAUGCACGAAAGCGUGGGGAGCAAACAGG
rnacentral:rRNA from 1 species